UUCCACUAUUUGUUCUACUAUCUGAGUGUAUUACAAUACAAAAGGCAUACUAAUGCAAAAGCGUGCCCAGUCCCUGUCCCCGCUUUGUGAAGGUUUGAGGAAGGUUAUCUAUUAUACAUAAUCUUCCUUCUGCUUUUCUGCAAAGAGGCAGUUUGCAGUAGAGGCGAGCAGAUUUUGGUUAUAACUGAACCAAACUGAAUGGUUUAAUUCGAUUUUUCUGUUUGAUUACCUUUUAUCAGAAACUUCAGUUUUUGGUUCAGUUAUUUUAUUUUAUCCAAUAAAACCAAACUAAUUAAACUAAACAAAAGGGCAACCCAUUGAAGAAUCCAGGACCAGCUUCAUUAGUGAUUAGCCAACCUAGCUAUCAAUUAAAAAUGGUUGCCCUUUUGCUCUGCUUAAC
rnacentral:misc_RNA from 1 species